rnacentral:rRNA from 1 species
AUUGAACGCUGGCGGCAUGCCUUACACAUGCAAGUCGAACGGCAGCACGGGGGCAACCCUGGUGGCGAGUGGCGAACGGGUGAGUAAUGCAUCGGAACGUGCCCAGUAGUGGGGGAUAACUAGUCGAAAGAUUAGCUAAUACCGCAUACGACCUAUGGGUGAAAGCGGGGGAUUCGCAAGAACCUCGCGCUAUCGGAGCGGCCGAUGUCUGAUUAGCUAGUUGGCGGGGUAAAAGCCCACCAAGGCGACGAUCAGUAGCUGGUCUGAGAGGACGACCAGCCACACUGGGACUGAGACACGGCCCAGACUCCUACGGGAGGCAGCAGUGGGGAAUUUUGGACAAUGGGCGCAAGCCUGAUCCAGCCAUGCCGCGUGCGGGAA